ensembl:lncRNA
GGCCCGGGGAGCGGUUUUGAGGAUAAGGGCAAAUUCUGUUAAUUUGCUGGUUCGCCCGAAAUAAAUCCACACAAGCUUUUUGGGGAAUGCACCUUUUGGCCAGCAGAGGGCGGAGUGGAGCAGACGGCGGCCUGGACGCUCUGAUUUGAUAGGGUGCUCGGAUGGACUCAAAUGGUUGUAAGCCUGCCCUGCCAAGGCUGGGCUGGAGCCAGCCUUACCCCCCCGUACCCCCAUAUCAGUCCGCUGCUCCGGCACAGGGCCCCCUAUAUCUCUCCAUCUCGUCUCUCUCUACAUAUUAAUUUCGUCUCUUAGACGCCGUACAGUACUAACGGCUCCAGACGACUCUCUAACAGCCUACUGCACAUCACCAGCUCCAGACAGCGCCCCCGGUGGGCCUUUAGGGUACUGCAUCAGGAGAGGCGGACACCGAAAAGCACGUCGUUUCACGCGCUACUAGUGAACGCCGCGCGAGGGUCCAAAAGGCAGCAUCGCUCCAUCCAGAGUAUCGAGGGGGGAAAUAACGGACAGCUCGAUCUCCCCACGAUCCGACCGGGCGUGACGGCAUCACCUCAUCGGCGAGCAGCAGCGCGCGCCAGGAGCCCGCAGCAGCUCGAGGAGAAGAGAGGCGCGAGGAGGGGCGGCGACGAGAGACACCGAGAAAUAAACAACCGCGGACGGCGAGGCGCGAGCGUUCUGUGGAAGACCCCCGCGGUGUGGACAGCGAACGGGACCUUCUACUGAUAUGGCUGAGGUGUCACAAGAGGAGAGAAUCCAGGCCAUCUCUGAGAAGAGGAAGAAGCAGACAGAGAUUGAAAACAAGAGGAGGCAGCUCGAUGACGACCGACGGCAGCUCCAACAUCUCAAGUACAACUCUUGGCUUGUCAGCGAUCCAGUGACUAAUCUCUAUUGAUUCAACACCCUC